UUUAUGUGGGAUGAGCUAACAGCAGCCACUCCCAUACUGUCAGAUCCUGCUUCCCUUGCCAUAGCUGAUUAACCCAGGGUAAGACACUGGGAAUUGGAAACUUGGAGUGGAAAGACUCUGAUCGUAGUGGUCUCUGGAGCCAAAUCCCAUUCCACGGCAAUGUUCUGAUGAACAUUCAUCCCAUCCGUACCACUUACUGGCCGUGUAUCUUGACUCCAGCCACUAUACCACUGAAGCCUCAGUUUCCUCAGCUGCGUAGUGGGACCAAAAAUCUCUGCCUUUCCUACUUCGCAGAGACAGUGACUGGACAAAUUGAGAAGAUGGAUGUAAACAGUAAACAUACAAAUAUCAGG
rnacentral:lncRNA from 1 species